rnacentral:tRNA from 1 species
AAUAAGAUGCCUGAAAAAAAGGAUUAUUUUGAUAGAAUAAAUUAUGCAAUUAUUGUUCUUAUUA